CAUGAAACUGUCUUUCAGGUUCAAAGAAGAAGAAAGCAGCCAAGCCUUUAAGUUUCAAAGUUGGCGUAGGAAAAGUUAUCAGAGGUUGGGAUGAAGCUCUCCUGACAAUGAGUAAAGGAGAGAAGGCUCAGCUGGAAAUUGAACCGGAAUGGGCUUAUGGCAAGAAAGGGCAGCCCGACGCUAAGAUACCACCAAAUGCCAAACUGUUCUUUGAAGUGGAAUUGGUGGAUAUUGAGUGAAAUGAAGCAUUUUCUCUGCUGCUGGGAAUCCAUUUUGAGCAAGAAAGCUUCCAACAACUGCAGUUCUGCUCUUGUAACUCCAGGAUAUAGUUACAACUGUGGCCUUUAUUGAAAUCAAGUUUUUUUUCCCCUCAACUGCUGUACAGUAAGAUCCCACUAAAGAAACAUAGUUUA